UGAGAAGAGUCAUUCCUCCACAGUCGUAUCUCUGCAGUGCACGUCACCGCUUCAGCUCAUUCAAGAUCGCUAGGUAUAGAUUGUUUUUUUUUUUGUUUUUAUUUUUUUUACCACCGUCAGGAUUUCCCUCCAAGUUUCUCUGACAACUUGGAUGUAGCCAAGGGAGACCCCGACGCGUUGAUCGCAUGUGUGUGAGGGUGUGAACACUAACGUGCACGUCGUGGAGACCAUGUCGCUGCAGGAGGUGAACCAGAGUGCGGCGGAGUGGACAGCCAGUGAGAAGCCGUGGAAUAUGAGCGUGAAAGUGACCAGCAUGAAUAUGAGCCGCACAAACGAAUCAGUCCUCGCCAACAGACCCAAAGAGAUGGACUCGGUGCGCAUUCUGCUCUACACACUCAUCUUCCUCAUCAGUGUGUUUGGCAACCUCCUUAUCAUCACUGUCCUGAUUCUCAACAAGCGCAUGAGAACAGUCACCAACUCGUUCCUGCUGUCGCUUGCGCUCAGUGACCUGAUGAUGGCUAUCUUCUGUAUGCCCUUCACGCUUAUCCCCAAUAUACUUGAGGAUUUCAUCUUUGGGGCCGCCAUGUGCAAGACAGUCACCUACUUUAUGGGACUCUCUGUCAGUAUCUCAACCUUCAGCUUGGUGGCAAUUGCCAUCGAGCGAUACAGUGCAAUUUGCAACCCACUGAAGUCCAGAGCAUGGCAGACCCAAUCCCAUGCAUACCGUGUUAUUGCUGCCACCUGGGUGCUCUCGCUCCUUAUUAUGAUUCCUUAUCCAGUGUUCAGCAUCAUCAAGACGUUCCCCAAGACCAAUGACACUGUGGGCCACAUGUGUCGUCUCCACUGGCCCAGUCAACAAGCUGAGCAAACCUGGUAUGUGCUACUGCUCUUUAUUUUGUUCUUCAUUCCUGGAGUGGUGAUGGCUGUAGCCUACGGUCUCAUCUCCAGAGAACUCUUCCGCGGCAUGCAGUUUGAAAUGAAGCAGAAUAACACAGAGACUACUGAGCUGAAAAAUGGGGCUGUAGCAGUGCAGCCAAAUGAUGGUGAUGAUGGUUGUUACAUUCAGGUUUCCAAAAAGCCCUCUUCAACCGUGGAGCUUCCCACCCUCUCGUCAAGUGCUGCUCAACCCAAGACUGAGCGUGCUCGCAGCAACACCUCUGAGGCCAAAUUACAAGGAAAGAAGCGUGUCAUUCGGAUGUUGAUGGUAAUUGUGGCUCUUUUCUUCAUCUGCUGGAUGCCUCUGUACUUCGCAAACACCUGGAAGGCUUUUGACCUAAGGUCAGCCUCCAAAGCCCUCUCAGGGGCACCAAUUUCUUUCAUACAUCUGCUGUCCUACACUUCCGCCUGUGUCAAUCCUGUCAUAUACUGCUUUAUGAACACCCGCUUCCGCAAGGCCCUGCUAUCCACUUUUGCCUGCUGCUGUCGCCACCACCUCUGCCGCAAGUGCUGGUGGUUUAAAAAACAAGAAGCAGGAAGAGACGAUGGCACCACCGCCACUACCAUGGGGGCGACAAUGGCUACCUCUGUCUCAAAGUACAGCUACACUACUGUCAGCACCACAGCCUGAUGACCCUUCAUAAGAGUGCCAUGUUAGUACUGGGCAGUCAUUUACAGUCCUUUACCUUUCAUUCAUCAUAUUCACAUAUAUAUAUGUUUUGAAUAAUGUGCUGACUAAUGCAGCUGCCCUUUGCCCUUUGCCCCUUAUGUUCUGAGUGCAUGUUGCAGAAUGUGAGCCAGUACAGCACUUCUGUUGAAUUGUCAAGUACCAGAGCUCUUUUAUUUGAUUUUAUUUACAAUAUAAUGUUAUGUUAUAAAUUAUUAAUAAAGACCAUAUAGUAAUUGCACCAAAACAUGAUCCUGGCUACACUAAAUCCGAUUAACUUUAGUAGGGUUACCCAGGCUUUUUCUCAAGUUUGUCUUAUUUUGUUUUUGGUUGGCAUUGUGUAUUUAUUAUUUAUUAUUUACCAUUAUUUAUUACUGGUGUUGUAUCUUAAAACAGUCAAUCUCGGUUAGUGUCAUUCCAGAAGGUCCCGACUCGAGCUGAAACAUACUCCAACUAAAUACCUUUUUCCUAUUAAUGUAAAUAAACAAAACCAAAAACAUGUUACAGUUGAACAUAUAUUACAUAUAAGUGAGAAAUGAAAGGGAUAAAUUAACAUUUAAGGUUACUUGUACUUUCCUUGCAGAUGUGAUUGCCAAAGACAGCAAUGUGGCAGUAAGAUCAAAAUAAUUUUACACAGUGGUGUUUCUCAACUCAGGUCUCUGCUUUUGUUUUGAGCACGGUUGCAAAAUAAGCCAUAAUGGACACAGAAAUUUGAUACCACACGAUUCACACAAAGGUGAAGUCCAUGUUGAUCUCGUUGCCACGGCGGUCUUGUCAAGAAUCAUGUCUUCAAUUAAGGUAAAAAUAACCCUAAAUGUUCCUUUAACUCUUUCAUUUGUUAUUCAUAUGCAUGUCACAUUGUUUAUUGCAUGUAAAACUUAAAAAAUGUGUUUUCUGUUAACAUUCUUGAGACUUGUGGUGUACUGUUAGUUAGCAAAUAGGGUCAACUGCUGAUGAUAUAGCAUAAUAGACUCGUGACAGAGCUGACUUCUGGUUCCUGUUUCCUCGUAUUAGCAAGCUGACUGGCUGCUAACAAAUUAAUAACAUUAAAAACACAUUUGGCCUUGUCACUACUCAAUCUGUACCGGAAAUACAAUCUGUUCUACAUACAGUACAUAAAGCAUCUUAUCAAGUAUUUUACGGCAGUCAUGCAUCAGGCAAUCUGAUUUGUACUACAAAUGUGCAAAUGCGCCAUUAGUCGAUCGAUUUGAGGCAGUUAGGGAUGAUGCACGUAUUAAGCAACCCAUUUUCACUCUGUAUGUGCAAAGUGGAUCAUUUAUACCACUCCUCGAAAACUGUUAUUUCGAUUCUACAAAUGACCACAUAAUCAUAUCCAUUGUGCAAAGUGGAGAGAUUAUAAUCCUGAUAAUAAUCCUUAAAAUAAUUCAAAUUCUUUUCUGGUUGUAUAAAUUAUUUUAUAGGUUUUUUUCAGCACUGAAAAAAAAUGACAAAAACAUUUGCUAACAAGAUAUACUGGUAUAUGCAUGGAUGUUUUUUUUUCCAUUUAGAAGAAAACUCUCUGGCUGCUGGUUACACGUUAUCCAUCUUUGCACUUAGCUUAGAGUUGCCAUGUUGUAUGCUAACUGGAAAAUUUAGUUUUUAGUUUUAAUAAGCUUCAUUGCAGACAGCGACAACGUGUUCACAACAUGCCGAAAAGAAAACAGAAACUGACGUAACACAGGAAGUGCAGAGGUAGAACAAGCAAAGGUAGAACAGCAGCGCCCUCUAUUGAUGAAAGUACUCUGUAUACCAACCCUCCCACUUACUUUUACAAUAGGAUUUACAAGUCCCCUUAAGUAAUAUGUCAGAGCCAUGCUCUCCUUUACAAUAAGGUCAUGUAAAAAAAUAUGUGAACAACAAAAAUCACCUUUUUUCAAACUUCUCUCGUUUUACAUUUUUCCCCCAAAUAAUUGCUUUGACCAGGCCGUGUUCUUCAUAAAACUUUCAAGCAUUUUUAAAUAUUGAAAAGCCCGAUCUCUCCCCUGAGAUAUUCAAAUCUCUGUCUCGCCAGUGGCUUAGUAAGGAUAUCUGCUUUCAUGUCAGUUGUUGGACAAUACUGCAGCUUGAUCUGUCCAUUCUGCACAAUUCACGGAUGUACGUAAUGGUAGCGGAUGUCUAUUUGUUAGACUCCACAUAGACUCCACUCCGAGAUCACGCAGUAGUCGUCUUAGCUAGGUUCCUCCUUGAGCUGCUUGACUGAGUGCGAUGUACUCUGCUUCUGCAGUUGAAAGUGCGACGGUUGCCUGUUUCUUGCUGAGCCAUCUGAGUAUCCGAUUAAUACUCCAGAGUCAGAUUUCUCAUACUUGAGAACAAUGUUCACCGUCCCUUUCAACUACCGAAGUAUCCUUUUUACAGCAGUCAGGUGUGAAGCAUCUGGAUUUGCGUUGAACUUUGUACUCACAGCUUGAGCUAUGUCUAGUGGUGUGGCCAUUGCAGCAUACAGCGGACUUCCAACCAUUGACUGAUAGGUGUGUUGGUGCACUGGCACUUACUGACACCAUCACUCUUUCUUAGCUUGACGUUGGCAUCUGCAGGGGUUGCUACAGGAUUAUCCAUUCCAUAUUUUUGAAGUAUGCCUUCAAUGUAAUGCUUCUAGUGAAGAAAGAUACAUUCAUAUAUAUAUAUUCUUUUCUUUAUCUUGCAUCACGGAGAUGACAAGGAUGUUAGACAGCUCACCCAUGUCCUUUCAUCUUGUAGCGCUCCUUGAGAGCCGUUUUGAGCUCAUUCAUGCUUUCAGUUGACUCUGUAAUCGGAAUCAAGUCAUCCACAUAAACUGCAAGUAUCUCAAGCUUGUGUCUUGAUCUCACGAACACGCAGGGGUCUGUUUGAAUCCAAUCUCCAUCAUGAACUUUGUAAACGCCUUACUCCAACAGCGAGGAGACUGCUUCAGUCCAUAGAUUGGUCUUUUCAGUUUGCAUACCAGGUGCUCCUGCCCUGGUUUUAUGUAGCCCUCUGGUUGCUCCAUGUAUAUUUCCUCUUCCAGGUGUCCAUUAAGGAAUGCAGUAACAACAUCCAGCUGGUGCACAUGCAGAUCAUUUUGAGCAGCAAAUGACAGUAAUGUACGAAUAGAGCUGAAUCAUACCACUGGUAAAAAUGUUUCAUCAUAGUCAGUGCCAUACAACUUUGAGUAGCCCUUGGCAACAAGCUUGCACUUGUAUCGUUCCACUCUUCCAUCACUAUGAUGCUUGACUUUGAACACCCAUCUUGAUCCUAGUGCCUUUCUGUCUCUUGGUAGUCCACUAAGUCCUAUGUUUCAUUUUCAAUUAGAGACUCAUAUUCCAAGUCAGCCGCUACUUGCCACCUACUUUGCAUCAGGACUCUUCAUUGCCUCUUUCAGUGAGAGUGGUUCUGUCAACAUGUUGGCAUAAUGAUCAACAGUCACUACAUCAGCGCACUCAUCGUAUACAAAUCUUUUUGGAGCAUGUCUGAUUCUGCCACUUUUUCUGACAGUGCUCUCGACAGCGACCUCAUCAUCUCGCGUUUCACUCUCAUUUGGUGUCAGUUAUCUCGUUCUCUGUGCAGGGUACUUUCACUUCUUGCUUCCAGUUAAAGUUUGAUUCGUCAAAGAUGACAUCACAACGGAUUAGAAUCCUCUUUUUGUCUUCAUCAUACAGUCGAUAGCCUUUGGCAUUGUUUGCAUAUCCCAUGAAGCGAAGUUUCACAGCCUUUUUGUCCAGCUUUUUUCUGUCUUCAUCUGGUGCAUGUGCAUAAGCAAUACAGCCAAACACUUUCAUGUGACUCACAUCAGGUUUUUUGCCACACCAUCUCUGAUAUGGUGUUUCUCCCUUCAGAACAGUGGGUAGCCUGUUCUGUAUGUAGGCCGCUGUGGCUACAGCCUCUGCCCAAAACAUCUUUGGUAACUUUGCAUGAGACAGCAUGCUCCUCGCUGCUUCAACUAGUGUUCUAUUUUUCCUUUCAGCAACACCAUUUUGCUGUGGUGAGUGGGGUACAGUCAUUUCAUGGUGGGUGCCUUUAGUCUUUAGUCAAUAUUCUUGAAAUUCUUUUGAGGUGUACUCACCGCCAUUGUCUGUUCUCAGCCUUGAGAUGCUUCGCCACAGUCAUUUGUGAAAGUUUUCUCAAAUUCCUUGAAUUUGCAUAGCGCUUCAGUCUUUUGUCUCAUGAAGUAUGCUUUACAGUACCUUGAGUAGCCAUCUAUGAAGGUGACAAAAUAUUUUGACCGACUUAUAAAUUCCGUCUUUCAUCUUUCCCACACUUAUAGCAUCUCCACAUGCUUUGUCCUGCUGCUCCCACUGCUUUGGAGACAUCCUGCACAUUUCCACAUAAUUGUGACGACAUUGCUGAUGCACCACUUGACGUAGCACCACUGUUAUCAUUAGCAUUAACUCGCUUUUGUUCUUCAUUGAUCAGUGCUUGCUGAACAAUCUUCAGUGUCAGGUUGUCAAUCUUUGUUUCAAGUGCAGCGGCAAUAGUUGCAUAACUUGGUGGCAAACUUCCCAAUAGUGUCACAAUUUGGUCCUCCUCUUCAAUGACUCCUUAGCUCCUUCAUUCGUUUAAGAUGCUCAGUUAAACCAUCUCCUUCUUUCAUCUCACAUCUGAAGUAUUUCUUCAGAAAUAAUUUGUUUGCCAAAGUGUCUCUCUCAAAAUGGCCUUUCAACGUAGUCCAUGCUUUUGUAGGAGUCUGGCAGCUGGUUAUCAGAUACAACUGUGGUGUACUUACAUUCAGCACCAACAUAGAGAAUGCUUUUUCUCUUCCUUUUGUAAACUCAGCAUGUGCUGCUGUGUUAGCAUCUCCGGGUAGCACGUCUUGCUCCGUUAGCAUGCCCCACUGUCCUUUAGCCUUUAGCAAGUGCUCCAUCUGAAACUUCCAUGUUGCCCAAUUCUCUGGUCCGCAUAGCCUGUCCAUAAACCGCUUGUCUUUCAUUGUGAAUUUCCACAACACCGUAUUCCAUGGACUUCAGCUUUCUUGCGACGCUCUGGGCCCAUAACCUGUAGUUUUUAGUUUUAAUAAGCUUUAUUGCAGACAGCAACAAUGUGAACACAACAUGCCGAAAAGAAAACAGAAACUGAUGUAACACAGGAAGUGCAGAGGUCGAACAAGCAGCGGUAGGCCAGCUGCGCCUCUAUUAAUGAAAGUACUCUAUAUACCAACAGAAAAUGUACUCAAACUGUGUCAAAACUUUGGUGUACAUUUUUAAUAAUGGGAUCCCUUUUGGGAAGGUUCACUAGUUUUCCAUGCUUCACCAUUUGUGGAUAAUGGCUCUCACGGUGGUUCACUGGAGUCCCAAAGCUUCACAAGUGGCUUUUUUUCCCCUUAAUAAUCAAAAGUUCCAUUUAAGAACUGCAUUUUGUGUUCAUUUGUUUUGUCAUCGACUAAUAUUCACAUUUGUUUGAUGACCUAAAGCAUUUUAGUGUGGCGAGCGUACAAAAAGAAAAUCAGGAAGGAGGGCAAACACUUUUUCACACCGCUGACACAGAAAAGGCACAAUAUACCUGUGAAUAUCCUCAUUCAUCCAGGUCAAUGAAUUCUUAGGACACAGAAUCGAUCGCAACUGGACUGGUCAGGUUACCUUACAAGAUAUUUUGCCUCACAUCCGAGCAGGGUAAAGAGUUGUCACAUUUGGACUCACUGGCGUCUAGUCUGUGAACAUGAACUGGUGAGGCCUGCUUCAAUUAGAGGCAAAACAUCUUCUAAGACAAUCUGAACAACAAAGUUGCGACCAAUUCAAUGCCCUGAGAACAACGCCCCCAAAAAAACAUUAAAAACUCAUUUGCUCCAUGCACGUUAUUUGGUCAUAUACUGUAAAUUUAAAAAAGGGGUGGUUCAAAAAGCAGUUUGUCCAACAUAUGAACUGUUUGGAAAAGUAUUUUGCUCUUUAAGCAGGACAUUACAAUUUAGAUGUAUGUAAGUAUGUUUCCUGUACAACCUACACAAUUGGACAAAAUUGUUGGUACCCCUCAGUUAAAGAAAGAAAAUUCCACAAUUCUCACUGAAAUCACUUGACAUUUACCAAAGUAACAAUAAAUAAAAAAAAUAUUGAAAAUUAAACAAUCAAAAUCAGCCUUUGCUUUUGAAUGGUUGAUUAACAUUCAUCCAUUCAUUCAUUCAUUCAUUCAUUCAUUUUCUACCACUUAUCCUUACGAGGAUCGCGGGGGUGCUGGAGGCUAUCCCAGCUGUCUUCGGGCGAGAGGCGGGGUACACCCUGGACUGGUCGCCAGCCAAUCACAGGGCGGUUGAUUAACAUAAUUAUUUAAACAAAUAAACUAAUGAAACAAGUCUGGACAAAAAUGACGGUACCUCUUCAAAAGAUUGAAAACAAUUUGACCAGAGCCACAUGAUUAUCUCACGUGUGUCCUUUAAUUGACAUCAUAGGUGUCUUCAAACUCAUGAUCUGUCAUAAUCAGUCUGCCAAUUUAAAGGGUGACAAAUGGUCACUUUGCUGUUUGGUGACCACACUGAACAUGGACAACAGAAAGCAAGAAUUGUCCCAGGACAUUCAAAAGAAAAUUAUAGACGAACAUCUGAAAGGUAAAGGCUAUAAGACCAUCUCUAGGCAGCUUGAAGUUCGUGUGACAAGAAUGGGACAUAUUAUUCAGAAGUCUGAGGUCCACGGGACAGUAUCGAACCUCCCUGGACGUGGCCGCAAGAGGAAAAUUGAUGACAAGUUGAAGAGAUGGAUAGUUCAAAUUGUAUCCAAAGAGCCCAGAACAACCUCCACAGAUUGUAAAGGUGAACUUCAAGGCCAAGGUACAUCAGUGACAGAUCGCACCAUUGGUCGUUGUUUGAGUCAAAGUGGACUUCAUGGGAGACGACCAAGAAGGACACCACUGUUGAAAGCAUACAAUCAUAAAAAAGCGAGACUGGAAUUUGCGAAAAUGCAUGUUGACAAGCCGCAGAGCUUCUGGGAAAAUGUUCUAUGGACAGAUGAGUCAAAACUGGAGAUUCUUGGUGAGGCACAUGAACUGAAUGCUCAUAGACUGAAAAAUCAAGCCUAUGUACGAAGAAAAGAACACUGUCCCUACUGGGAAACAUGGAGGAGGCUCAGUUAUGUUUUGGGGCUACUUUGCUGCAUCUGGCACAGGGUGUCUUGAAGUUGUGCAAGGUACAAUAAAAUCUCAAGACUAUCAAGGCAUUCUGAAGAGAAAUGUGCUGCCUCGUGUCAGAAAGCUUGGUCUCAGUCGCAGGUCAUGGGUCUUUCAACAGGACAACGAUCCAAAACACAGCCAAAAGCACCCAAGAAUGGCUAAGAGAAAAGCGUUGGACUAUUUUGAAGUGGCCCUCUAUGAUACCAGAUCUGAAUCCCAUUGAACAUCUGUGGAAGGAGCUGAAACAUGCCAUCUGGUGAAGACACCCGUCUAACCUGAGACAACUGGAGCAGUUUGCUCCAGAGGAGUGGGCCAAAAUACCUGAUGACAGGUGCAGAAGGCUCAUUGACACUUACAGAAAUCGUUUCAUUGCAGUGAUCUUCUCAAAAGGUUGUGCAACAAAAUAUUAAGUUAUGGGUACCAUAAUUUUUGUCCAGGCCUGUUUCAUUAAUUUGUUUUUUAAAAUAAUUAUGUUAAUCAACAAUUCAAAAGUGAUGGCUGAUUUUGAUUGUUUAAUUCUCAAUUUUUUUUUAUUUAUUGUUACUUUUGUAAGUUUCAAGUGAAUUCAGUGAGAAUUGUGGGAUUACCUCACUUUUUGUGAUUACCGUUAAUUUCUGGAAUGAGUGCAGCUGAAUAUACGUAUAUCGUACCCACUAAAUUUAAAGAUAAUAAAAGAUUUGUGUCCAUAAGCCACCAUAAGUGUCUACUUUGUAACUUGGGAUAUUUAGUACACAGAAAUUGACUUACAAGAUCUUUUGUUUCACAUCCGAGCAGGGUAAAGAGCUGUCCAUUUGGACUCACUGGCGUUAUACAGAGAUCUUUUUUUUAAUGAAUACUUUUUUUUGAAACUGUACCAAACAUUGCAAGGGGCAAGUGAUACAUUUGGUUAAACAGCAGCCUACAUCAAGGAGGAAGAGUCUUGAACUUGUUCUGUCAUGUUUACCUCUAUUAUUUAUUUAUUUAUUUAUUAUCACACUGAUUGUUUGUAUACAGUAUGUACAUGUCUACCAAAGCUUCUAUGUAUUUUAAUUUGUAUUUGUCACAUCUGGUUCCUGCUUGUGUCAUGUGGUAAUACUGCACAAUUUGUGCUGUUGAAACUGUGUUUCAAUGUGUCAUGUUACUAUACUUGUUGUAGUAUAUGUAAGGUUAUAGUUGUCAUUAAUGCUUUAUGCUUUCUAGUUUUCCAUGGUUUAGGUUCAUAAAUUGUUCAAUUAAUAUAAUAAAUAUUGGGAAGACACUGGAUUGUCAGUGGAUUUGUCGCGGUGCGGUGUAGCUCUGGAUUGCUGACACAGAGGCAGGUGAGGUUGCUUGCACAAUUUAUUCAGUCCAAAGGGGUAUAACAAAAGCGAUGGUCACAAAAGGGUGCACCCUGGAGAACAAGCUAAAGAAUCUAAACCAGGGGUGCUCAUUAAGUCGAUCGCGAUCUACCGGUCGAUCGCGGAGGUGGUACUGGUCGAUCUCGGCGUGACAUUAAAAAAAAUAUCAUCCUAGCAUCAAUGUCGUCACUUGAUUGCCAUUCAGCCAUUCAGAUGACAACUGAAUGUUGCCCUUCGGAUGACCAAUCAAAUCAAACAACGUCUCUAAGUGCAGCAGAACUUACGAUGUCAGCCUAUCAUCCAUCCCCGUUACUUGAUUGACAUACAGGACAACCAGUCAGAUGACAACUGAAUUUUGACCUUUAGGUCACCGCUCAUGCGUAAACAACGAUGCAAAGUGCUAAGCUAGUCGGCGAAUUGCGUCAGAUUUUAAGCCCUCGCUAAAGUUUAUGGUCACUAAAAUGAGUGAAGUAGCUGGACCAAGUAAAAAGGCAAAAACAUAUCACUUCCAUACGGAAUGGGAGGUGGACUUUUUUUUCACAAUGUCUUUUUCGAAGUGCGUUUGCCUGGCUAACCUGGCUAUCAGCAGCUACUGUCCGGACUAUGCAUCCCCGGCUGAUUCAAUUCAGUGCAAGUCAUCAAAGUAAACUCAGGUAAUUACAAAAAAUGUUAAUAGUUAAUUAUGUGUGUUUUGCAGUAUUGGCUCAUUUGGUUAUGUAAGGUACAUCAACAUACAUUGUACGUACAAAUAAUCCUCAAUACAUUUGAAAAUAAAUAGAUGUUUUGCAUUUUUGUAGUGGGUAGAUCAUUUUGACUCGGUCAUUUUAAAAGUAGCUCGCAUGCUGAAAAAGUGUGAGCACCCCUCAUCUAAACCAUACAAUCAAUCAAUCAAACUUUAUUUGUAGAGCACUUUUCAUACAUAGACUGUAGCACAAAGUGCUUUACAUGUUAAAAAAGAAAGACAACAAGACACAUAUACACACACACUCGCACAUACACUGUAAAACCUAGUAGCACAUCUUUUUAAACCACUUAAGUUAAUUAGACUUGAUUCUUGAAAAAAAUUACACUCACUUAAAAUGAAUUGAAUAUACUUAAACAAUAACAAUUGUUUCAAUAACUCUUUCAUUUUUAGUUCAUUUAAAGUUACAGAAGGUUUCAAGUAGAUGUUAACAAACCUAUUUAGUUAGAUAAACUCAUCUUCUCUGAUUUUAUUUUAAUUUUUGAGCGAGUUCUAUGAAACCUGUUGGAACCUGUUUGCACCUGUUCACCCUCACAUCUUCAGCAGCACGGUACCCACACAAGGAGCACAGCUGAAUUAUUUCAGUUUUAUCAAGAAAUCAGAAGGUUAUCUGAAACGACUUCUUCACUUUUGCUGAGGCCAGCGGCGAAUGGACCUUGAUGUCUUGUCUAUGGUAAGAACAACUUUUAAAGUUUUUCCUCCCGCAUUCAGUGGGGGAAAGAUCACUGCUUAAGUUCGCUUUUAAGGGUAAGUUAGCCAAUUAACAUAUCUCAGAACAGAAAAGUAAUUGUCUGCACACUUUUGGUAUUUCUUAACUAUCAUCUCCAAACCGUGUCAGAUUGCCAAAUAAAAAUACAUUUAAAGGGUAAUUUUUCAUCUUCCAAUUUUGAUUUGUAACAAAGUGUUGGAAGAAUUGUACAUAAAGUUAUUCUAUUCUUACUAUAUUCUUAUGACCUAUUUUUACUAUAUUCUUAUGACCUAUUUUUACUAUAUUCUUAUGACCUAUUUUUCUUAUGACCUACAUACAUUUCAUAUCACUCACAUAACAAAGUAAGAUUAGUAACACAUAGCAAUGUAAGAUUAAUGCUGUGACGCCUGCACUUGUGGUGUACAUCAUGAUUAAGGGAAAACAGAACAUGACAGAACAUUCCUCAGCAGAUAGUUUUAUCACACCCUCAGGAGACAUAACUGCACAGGUCAGAAGUAGAUAUGACCUCAAAGAAUGUGUGUAUGUCCCCAGAGGAUCACAUGCCAAGGAUGAGAUACCCACACCUUAUGGAUAACAUGUUGUACGAAAGAACCGGUUUCAACUUGUUUAGUUAAACCCCCCUUCCCCUUAGUAGUUGAAAUCUCGUGUAACUAGGGCGUCCCUAAGUAAAUAAAAGGGCAGGAGAAAUGGGGACUGUUUCAGAGUUGGUAGGAGGAUUGUAACUGUGCAGUCUCCAUCACUCUCCUUGCAAGUAAAAAGAAACUCACCUCUCUGUGUCUUCCUUUGUACAGGCAGUGUUUUUUACAAGUGUUGGGGGUUAAACCUGACACAAAGCUAGAGGAAAGCUAUUUGACAAUGUGCUUACCUCUGGAAUGUUUUUUUUAAUUUGUUGUUGAAGAAAACUAUACUACUUUUGUUUUUUCCCUUUUUGUAUUGCAGAUUUUCUUAAAACAGUGCUAAUGGAAACAAAAGUUUGAAACUCAGGGUCAUUCUUGAUUAUGUAAAUGUAGAGAGGCUUAUUUUGCCGUCCCAUCCUGAGAGCGUAAAUGCCCUAAUAUAUGACGUUAAAAACAUGUUGAACUUGACUUAUGACUUGCGCCUUCAACUUUCUUCCAAAUUACCAUCAAGGACAGACUAAGGACACACUGGAGACACAGAGACUCGAGAUGGUGGAGCAGUUUAAGAAAAUGUCCAUGGAGAAAGAUAUGGUUCUCAUUCAUUGACAUAUGCAGCAGACCUUUGCGCUGAAGCGGGAAGAAAUAGUACAUUCAGACCCUCCCCUGGUUGAUGUUGUUGCAAGAUGGCCUGCACUCUUCUGUCAAGCCCAGGUGGGUAAAAAUAUAAGAGCACAUGUAAUGUAAAAAUAACUGUCUAUUUUGUCUACAUAAGUCUAUCAUAGGUUUAAAAUUGAGAUGCAGGACUUUUUCAUUGGGUAAUGGGUACUCUGUAAAAAAAAGCCCGUCUCUUUUUUAAUUCCAUUACUGUGAAUUCCAUCACAUCACCAAUCAGAAUCUUCCCUACUCCUCCUUUGCUGCUCUUGACAAGCACACAUCUCAGCUUCUAAAGCUCUACCAAAUGAAGAAAAUCUGAUGUUUCGGUGAAAGGUUACAAGCUCUUACAUGAUAAUCAGGAUAAAGAGGCACCCCACGGUGAAGCAGUGGCUCUGCUGACUGUGGUCAGUGAGGAUGAGGUGCCAGCUGGGAUAAAUUUUGAAACACACCAUGUGUCCAUCGUCCUCAAGGGUCAGGUUGUAAUGUCUCUGAGAUCUUGGCCUGAUGCGUUUCGGAAAAAUGCAAAUUUGUUUGGACUGAUUUAUGCUCUCCAUUGAACUACUCUGAGAAGCUGAAUGGGUUUUUUGAGUUUAUCCAGGUUGUCCUCUUAAACCUUGAUGAUGGUAGAAAGUUGCAGGCCUUAAAAAAAUGAGCUAACUUGGUAAAAGCUGUACCUGUAUGUUGAACCAAGCGCCUCACAAGUCCAUUGAGUAGCUGUUGUUUAGAAUAUUAUGCUUUUCCAGAUUGUUUAUUGCAUUUUCAAUUUCCAAUUUGAAAAAAGAUAUUUCAGUACAUUUCUACAUUUUCAAACUUCCACCAGUCAGUCUCAUUUUGACAACAAUCUAAGUUAUAUGUUUGAGUUUCAAGUUUUGACAGUUAUUCUCGAAAAUAAUAUGGUCUUGUAAUUUCAGUUUCAGAAGUCUACACAAGGAUUGAAAUUUCUGGAAAUGUCUUUAGUAAUAUAGAAUUACUUGGUUUGGUAGUUUUGUGUGGAUCGGCUUGCUUUUCAGGGUGAGAAAUCAAGCAGUUUGUUUCUGCUUGAUUUCACAUUUUAAGUGUGUUGCUGCCUCCCUUAAUGCUUAAAGUCUUGUAGACUUAAACAGUCUAUUGAACAGUCUAUCUUCAAUAAAGAAUGCUUGUAUU